rnacentral:misc_RNA from 1 species
GAUGAAGAACGUAGCAAAAUGCGAUAAGUAAUGUGAAUUGCAGAAUUCAGUGAAUCAUCGAAUCUUUGAACGCACAUUGCGCCCGCCAGUAUUCUGGCGGGCAUGCCUGUUCGAGCGUCAUUUCAACCCUCAAGCACAGCUUGGUGUUGGGACUCGCGUUAAUUCGCGUUCCCCAAAUUGAUUGGCGGUCACGUCGAGCUUCCAUAGCGUAGUUGUAAAACCCUCGUUACUGGUAAUCGUCGCGGCCACGCCGUUAAACCCCAACUUCUGAAUGUUGACCUCGGAUCAGGUAGGAAUACCCGCUGAACUUAAGCAUAUCAAUAAGCGGAGGA